AGUUCUGCAGACUGGGACAUCCAAGGUCAAUGUGCUGACAGAUUCAAUGUCUGGCGUGAAAUACAUCACCCCUUUCCCUGCUCCUGCCACCAUUAAAAUUGUGUUUGGCAUCUGACCACCAAGAUAGAGACAUUUCCUAGACUGUUUUGCAGCUAGGUACUUAGACAGUAAUGAAGAUGGGGCCACCAUUCCCUGAGAAAAUCAAGUGGGAAAGUCCUGAGUCCUUUAAUGACUUUACAGAGGACAGCCUCCUGGCCAGCUGAACAAUGUUUUUGAGAGACAAAUAAACUCCUAUCAUAUUCAUGC
rnacentral:lncRNA from 1 species